rnacentral:rRNA from 1 species
AUGACGAAAGUGGUCUCGCCUGGACUGCAAAACCAGCAGCAGCGUGGUAGCGUAGUAGUAGUACCACGCCAUGGUGGGCGCCAACUGUCGUGGUAUUCUCACGGGAGUCUUGCGAGUCGACAGAUGCCACAAGGGCUUAGUGUGAGGGUAAGACUGCUGCUGAUAGGACCGGGAGCGGGUAUGCGAGUAGCACGCGCUAGUUUACCCAGGUUCAGGGCUCUCCGGAGAGAUAAUACCCCUACUCCUGCAUGUCUGAGUAUAUAUCUGGGGUGUACAUCGAGCAGUACAAAGUGCUCCUGGAGCUGUAUCUGA